GACGAACGCUGGCGGCGUGCCUAAUACAUGCAAGUCGAGCGAAGUUUUUCUGGUGCUUGCACCGGAAAAACUUAGCGGCGAACGGGUGAGUAACACGUAAAGAACCUGCCUCAUAGACUGGGACAACUAUUGGAAACGAUAGCUAAUACCGGAUAACAGCAUUAACUGCAUGGAUGAUGUUUAAAAGUUGGUUUUGCUAACACUAUGAGAUGGCUUUGCGGUGCAUUAGCUAGUUGGUGGGGUAAAGGCCUACCAAGGCGACGAUGCAUAGCCGACCUGAGAGGGUGAUCGGCCACACUGGGACUGAGACACGGCCCAGACUCCUACGGGAGGCAGCAGUAGGGAAUCUUCCGCAAUGGGCGAAAGCCUGACGGAGCAACGCCGCGUGAGUGAAGAAGGAUUUCGGUUCGUAAAGCUCUGUUGUUAGGGAAGAAUGAUUGUGUAGUAACUAUACACAGUAGAGACGGUACCUAACCAGAAAGCCACGGCUAACUACGUG
rnacentral:rRNA from 1 species